UUCCGGUUGAUCCUGCCGGACCCUACUGCUAUCGGGGGAGGACUAAAACAUGCUAGUCGUGCGCGCUAGACGCGGCAUACGGCUCAGUAACACGUGGCUAACCCACCCUUGAGACGAAGAAAACCCCGGGAAACUGGGGGUAAUCCUCGAUAGAAGAAGACACCUGGAAAGGGUCUCCUUCCAAAGCUUCUAUGCUCAAGGACGGGGCCGCGGCCGAUCAGGUUGUUGGUGAGGCAAAGGCUCACCAAGCCUAUAACCGGUACGGGCCGUGAGAGCGGGAGCCCGGAGAUGGGUACUGAGACAAGGACCCAGGCCCUACGGGGCGCAGCAGUCGCGAAAACUCCGCAAUGCACGAAAGUGUGACGGGGCUACCCCGAGUGCCGUCCGCUGAGGAUGGCUUUUCUCUGCUGUAAGAAGGCGGAGGAAUAAGGCGAGGGCAAGUCUGGUGUCAGCCGCCGCGGUAAUACCAGCUCGCCGAGUGGUAGGGAUGAUUAUUGGGCCUGAAGCGUCCGUAGCCGGCCUUUCAAGUCUCUUGUUAAAUCCAACGAUUCAAUCGCUGGACUGCAGGAGAUACUGUUAGGCUAGGGGGCGGGAGAAGCCGACGGUAUUCUCGGGGUAGGGGUAAAAUCCUAUAAUCCCGGGAAGACCACCAGUGGCGUAGGCGGUCGGCUAGCACGCGCUCGACGGUGAGGGACGAAAGCUGGGGGAGCGAACCGGAUUAGAUACCCGGGUAGUCUCAGCUGUAAACGAUGCUGGCUAGGUGUUGAAGCGGCUACGAGCCGCUUCAGUGCCGCAGGGAAGCCAUUAAGCCAGCCGCCUGGGGAGUACGGCCGCAAGGCUGAAACUUAAAGGAAUUGGCGGGGGAGCACCACAAGGGGUGAAGCUUGCGGUUUAAUUGGAUUCAACGCCGGA
rnacentral:rRNA from 1 species